rnacentral:tRNA from 1 species
AGUUGCGUGGUGUAGCUGGUAAUCACACCAGUCUAACACACUGGCGGUCCCCGGUUCGACCCCGGGCGAAGUCA